rnacentral:lncRNA from 1 species
AUGGCAUCCCAGGAGUUUGAGAUUGAAACUGUUGUUGACGAAAGACAAGACAAAAAUGGGAAGGCAGAGUAUUUCAUUCAGUGGAAAGGCUGUGACAAACAGGAUAACACUUGGGGAGUGGAGCAGCACUUCAUAAACUGUGAAAAAUGUAUUUAUGACUUUAACAGAUGACAGAUUAAAAAACAGAAAAAGAAGGACACGGACUGGAAACAAGCAGAACAUUGUCAAGCAAGGCCAUAAAAGGAACUUCCAGAUCUACCAACUCCAACUUUUUUAAGAACCUUCCUAAAACGCUAGUGACUUGCAAACACACAUCCAAAAACUGCCAGUUGUUUGCUACCAACCACAACGCUAGGAGAAACACAGCUUCACCUCUCUUCGACCCAAGGAAUAUGGAGCUAAGAAAUUAAACUAUCAAGACACUUGCACUUUUAACAGCAAGAACACAGUGGAUUUCAAUAACUCGGGAAACUGGAUCCUAUUUUGCUGGAUCAGCAGGACACCAUGGUGCUCAAGGUGGCAGCUGAGAACCCCUUCAGGGCUGUAUUAUGUCCUGGUGCAGAACAGACUGGAGGAGAAAACAGGUGCAAGAUACACCCACUAAUGUCUCAGGGGUCUGGCUUGGUUACUGCUUCCAUGGUUACAGGCCUAGCCAGCAAAGAAGGUACAUUGGUAUAAGCAAUUCCACGAACAGCCAACAGAACAAAAAACUUGCAUAUAUUUGUUCCAAGUGUGAGAGGGGGGCAAAGAAAGAUUAUUGAUGAUGAAAAAGACCAGCCUUUUGUCAAAAGCAUGUAUUUUACCAUAAGGCUAACAGAAAAUGCCAGUAGACUCGGAGACAUUUCGGUGAGGGAAAAUGAUGGCUUUACCCAGAAACUAUCAACAAGAUUGACAGAGAAUAACUCACUAAAUAUAGAAGUAAUGAAAAAAAUCAAGAAUGUUCUGCAUAGGGCUGCUGCAGAUGACAGGAAGUUUAUGCUGCCCACUCCAGCUGGUUGUGUCCUUUGCUGAGGUCUUGAUUUUGUGUGUAUUUAAGAAAUGACAGAAACAGAGCAAGCAUUGAAAUAGUGGAUACCAUAAAGAACACUGUGAAUAAUUUCAUUCAGUUUGAGAAGCCAAUUGUAUCAGCCAAUAGCCCAGCCAUUUGACUAGCUGCAUCCAUACUGCCUCUUUGUGAUUUGGUUAAAAGGCUUGGUUUUAAACCCCUUCUGUGACUUUUGGACCGACCCCAGGUGGCUUGUUUACCAUUAAAUUUCACAAGAUGAUGGAUGAAGCAUCGGCCAAGGUAAUGUUGAUUGGUGGGAGAAAGCUGAAAGCAUGGGAGGCAUGUGCCACAGACCUGGUCUCUCAGGUGUCUUGAACUGUAACUUUUCCCCCAAGUGGUUAUGAUACAAAUUAAGGGAUUUGCUUCAUAUAAUUCAGUUGUGCUAGAGAAAAAUAAUGCCCUUAUUUACUGUAACAUUAAGAUGAAGUUGAAAGAGGCCAAUGAGAGAGAGUGAUGUGCCAAAAAAAUCUGAAUCUGAGCACAAGGAAUAGAAUCUAUGUUCAAGUAUAUGCAAAGGAAAAUUGAUAAGUUUUAA